AACGCGAAGAACCUUACCUGGCCUUGACAUGCACGGAAUUUAGCAGAGAUGCCUUAGUGCCUUCGGGAACCGUGAGACAGGUGCUGCAUGGCUGUCGUCAGCUCGUGUUGUGAAAUGUUGGGUUAAGUCCCGCAACGAGCGCAACCCUUAUCCUUUGUUGCCAGCACGUAAAGGUGGGAACUCAAAGGAGACUGCCGGUGAUAAACCGGAGGAAGGUGGGGAUGACGUCAAGUCAUCAUGGCCCUUACGGCCAGGGCUACACACGUGCUACAAUGGCGCAUACAAAGAGAAGCGACCUCGCGAGAGCAAGCGGACCUCAUAAAGUGCGUCGUAGUUCGGAUCGGAGUCUGCAACUCGACUCCGUGAAGUCGGAAUCGCUAGUAAUCGUAGAUCAGAAUGCUACGG
rnacentral:rRNA from 1 species